AACAUAGUAACUUUCCAUAUGAGGGGUAUCUUCUCCAUCACAGUUUUAUGUUUGGGGGUUUCAUUUCUCGUGUUAUGUGGCUACAACUUCUCAUGCCUUAUAGAGGGUCCAUGGAGGAAUGUUUUUAAGGUAGCUUGACUUUGCCUCCAUGGUCUCAUCCUUUUGCACUAUCUUUUUCUACUCAUAGCCUCCCUUCCUCAACUAAUGUCAAAAGAAACACCACUAGUUUUGUGGGGUUAGGCUAAUGCAACGCACAAGCACAGGAUCAAUACCCCCCCUCAAAGGAAAGAAAUUAUUUUUUAUUUAAGCUAAUUUGUUGAUAAUUCUUUUUCCUCAUUUGUUCAUAUAUGGAAAACUUUUGUGAGGUGAACUUAUGAGUAUUGGCCUUUCAAUUGCCAAAUGUGUGAUUACCCGUUAAUUUGGUAUCAGAAUGUUAUGUAUUUGCACAUGGGAUUUUUCUCCUUUAGUAGAGGACUCUAUGGGGUUCCUCACUUGUCUUCGAUGGUAAAUGUUAUGAGGCAGGACUUAAGUGAGGACUUGGUGUUUGUGGCUUGUUUGCCACUGAGGCUUUGGUCAACAAGUGACUGAGCAUGUAGUAGUUUAGAAGGCAAGGGUUCUAACUUGGGAAAGUUUGAGCUUCUCCCAUAUGAGUUGGAUCAAUAGCAACUCAUAGCUUUACAUUUUAAAAGCUACCUAUCUCAUGAUAUGUUGUUGGUAUUUGCAAAACCCAAAAGCUGAUCUGCUUUUCUCUUUAAUUUAUUACCCAUGGUUAGUUCUGAAAUUUUCUUCCCAUAUGAGGGGCAUCUUUCUGGUGUAUUUGUGAUGGAAUUAGUUUUAGGUAUGAUUGCAUUAAAUGUAGUAAAUCACUGAUCAAUGGUACAUUUGCAAGUGAGUUAUGGUUUAAAGCUCAUAUUUUAUUUCUAAAAUUAAAAUGGAUUUCUUUUGUGAUCUCUAAUUCAGGAUAUUUAGAGCCAGUUUGGUAACGAUUCUGUUCUAGAACGUCGUUCUUCAGCAAAAUCAUCUAUUUGUGUUACCUCAUUAAAAGACGAUUUUUUUACUCUGUGUGAGCGUUUGGUAAACUAGUUCCGAGACUGUUAUGGGGACAGUUCCUGGAAUGAAAUAGCGUUUGGCAAGAAAAGUCCAGACUCCACAUGCCCAUAUGUCUCAGCUACGAUAAGGAGAACAACACAAGAGCAGAAGCUCAUACAAUCCGAUAGGGACACUGUAGAUUGGUGCGUAUGGAAGAAAGGCGUAUAGAAGUGUGAUGCUGAAUUGAUGAUCAAAGCUCAUUAUAGAUAGCAAAUCUAAUAGAAAAGAUAAGGGCAUCAACAUUUGCCACUGCAAUGAGUGUUUAUCAAUAAAUGUUUAGUAUAUUGUCCAGGUCUUCUUUUUCA